UACAGGGGGUGCAAACGUUGCUCGGAAUCAUUGGGCGUAAAGCGCACGUAGGCGGUUCGUUAUGUCGGAUGUGAAAGCCCUUGGCUUAACCGAGGAAGUGCAUCCGAAACUGGCGAGCUAGAGUACUAAAGAGGAUCGCGGAAUUCCCGGUGUAGAGGUGAAAUUCGUAGAUAUCGGGUAGAACACCAGUGGCGAAGGCGGCUCUCUGGACGGAUACUGACGCUGAGACGCGAAAGCGUGGGGAGCAAACAGG
rnacentral:rRNA from 1 species